rnacentral:lncRNA from 1 species
CCAGGAGAUGAGCUAAUUAUUAGCUCAAUACAAGGGGUUUUGUUUCAGAGAUGGUAGAUCUCAUGUCCUCGACUUAAAAUCGCAAGCCAGAGAUUGCAGCAACCGCUACAUACUCAUAAAAAACUCUCUUCAUAAGUAUGCAAAGUAUCUCAUCAUACUAUCAUCAAGCAAUAGUGAAAUAAUUAAUUAAUAAAUUAAAUCUAAAAUUUAAUAAAUAAAAAUUUAAUUUUAAUAUUUCAUAAAAUUUAAUAAUAUUUAAAAGAUCUUACAUCAAUUAUGCCUCAAAUAAUAAUUUUGUAAAACAUGAUAAUAAAUCUUUACCAUUGACUCUUGCUUCUAACUCACUCCCAAAAUAGUAUCCAUAUUCAUAAUUAAGAAUCUAAAUCUAAAAAAAAUGAGAGAUAAUGAGCUCGAAGUUCUGUAAGUAAUGAAUAUCUCAACUAGACAUCUUAGAUAUUAUUAUAAGAAAAUAUAUUUCAUGUUAAUUAAUAUAAAUCAAAUCUUUUCAAAUACUCAUAUAUAUACAAAAUCAUAAAUUUAAUUUGAAAGAAAACAUAUAUAACUCAACAACCUUAACUAUGACCACACUUAUCUCUGUGGU